ACAAGAACAUCCAAACAUGAGUGGGAAUAAUUAAAAAAAAAAAUAGUGGCAGAGAGUGGUUUCCCUUUUCAGGGAGAAAAUCCAAAAAAGAAAAAGAAAAAAGAAAAGGCUUAAAUCCUAAAAUAAAGUAUUUUGUGAGUGCUGUUGUGGUCUCAUGUGGAGCAUCAUCCUGUGUAGACAACCAAAUGUUAAUUAGUUACAGCAAAUUUAAUUGUUUGUGGCAUUGUUGAGUGUAUUUUAAGGUGUUUUGGUAAAGCCCCAACAAAAGUAUAUGCUUAAAGACUCUAUUUUUAGCUGACUAUUUUUCUUGAUUUGGCUGAAUGAUUGACAAUCAAGAAGCAUAAGUUGAAGAAUUAGAGCUUUUGAUGCUUGUUCACAUGGAGGAAUCUUGGAUUGGUACAAGGUAGUUCAAGUGGGUAUCAACUUUUACCUUUUAUUCUUGUUGAAUUUGGUGGAUUCUUGCUGUAACUUUUCUUUUCUUUAUCACCUUAUUUUGGUACUAUUUAUUCUGGAUAAAGGUGUGACCUUUUGUCUGGUCUUCAAUUUUUUGUUGUUUCAUUUCAGAUUCUUGAUUCUUCUAGGCUUUUACUAAUAACAUAUGGGAGUUUUUUCCAUCCCCAAUUUUGGUUAAGAAUCUAUACAAAAGAUAGCUAGAGAAACUGAAAUUCUAAGAGGAUAUAGAGAGAUGUCUUCUAGUUCUACAACAAACAAGACGAAUUGCUCAAGGGGCAGUUCAGCUAGAUCUAGGCGUAGUGCUAGAGUUAUUGCUCAGACUCCAGUUGAUGCAAAGCUUCAUGUGGAGUUUGAGGAGUCUGAGCAACAAUUUGAUUACUCUAGUUCAGUUAACUUGUCUAAUUCCACUAGCAAUGUUCCAUCUUCAACUGUAUCUGAUUAUCUCCAGAAAAUGCAAAGGGGAAGUCUAAUUCAGCCGUUUGGAUGCAUGAUUGCUAUUGAUGAGCAAAACUUUGCUGUCAUAGCGUAUAGCGAAAAUGCACCAGAAAUGUUGGACUUGACACCUCAUGCAGUUCCAAGCAUCGAACAGCAAGAGGCUCUGACAUUUGGAACAGAUGUCAGGAAACUUUUUCGAUCUUCAGGUGCUUCUGCCCUCGAAAAAGCAGUCAGCUUUGGAGAACUUAGUUUGCUAAAUCCUAUUUUGGUUCAUUGUAAAAACUCAGGCAAGCCUUUCUAUGCGAUUCUGCACCGCAUUGAGGUUGGAUUAGUAAUAGAUUUGGAGCCUGUGGAUCCAGACGAGGUCCCUGUAACUACAGCGGGAGCUAUAAAAUCUUAUAAGCUAGCAGCUAAAGCCAUUCGGAAAUUGCAAUCUCUACCAAGCGGGGAUAUAUCAUUGUUAUGUGAUGUGUUAGUUAGAGAAGUGAGUCAUUUGACUGGCUAUGAUCGUGUUAUGGUUUAUAAAUUCCACGAGGAUGAACACGGGGAAGUAGUUGCUGAAUGUCGUACGCCUGAACUAGAACCUUAUCUUGGCUUGCAUUACCCUGCUACAGAUAUACCACAAGCUUCAAGAUUUCUCUUCAUGAAGAAUAAGGUUAGGAUGAUAUGUGAUUGCUUAGCUCCACCAAUUAGGGUGAUUCAAGAUCCAAGAUUGGCUCAGUCGCUGAGCCUUGGUGGAUCCACAUUAAGAGCUCCACAUGGCUGUCAUGCACAAUACAUGACCAAUAUGGGUACUGUUGCAUCUAUGGCGAUGUCUGUGAUGAUUAAUGAGCAAGAUGACGAGCUGGAUAGUGACCAGCAAGUGGGAAGAAAACUGUGGGGUUUGGUAGUUUGCCAUCACACUUGCCCUAGAUUUCUUUCUUUUCCUUUGAGGUACGCGUCUGAGUUCUUGCUUCAAGUUUUCAGUGUUCAGGUCAAUAAAGAAGUGGAAAUGGCAGCUCAACUUAAGGAAAAGCAGAUACUGCAAAUUCAAACUGUUCUAUGUGACAUGCUUCUAAGAGAUGCUCCCAUGGGGAUUGUUACUCAGUCUCCUAAUGUUAUGGACCUUGUAAAGUGUGACGGGGCUGCACUUUAUUAUAGGAACAAGCUUUGGUUGCAAGGUGUUACCCCUGCGGAGUCCCAAAUCAGAGAUAUAGCUGAAUGGCUCAAUGAAUCUCAUGGUGAUAGUACAGGUCUGAACACUGAUAGCCUCAUGGAAGCUGGCUUCCCAGGUGCUUCUGUGCUAGGUGAUGCGGUAUGUGGAAUGGCUGCUGUAAAAAUAACUUCAAAAGAUUUCCUCUUCUGGUUCCGCUCCCACACAGCUAAAGAGAUCAAGUGGGGUGGUGCAAAACAUCUUCCUGGAGACAAGGAUGACGGAAGAAAAAUGCACCCAAGGUCAUCAUUUAAAGCCUUUCUGGAGGUUGUUAAGCGGCGGAGCCUGCCUUGGGAAGAUGUGGAAAUGGAUGCCAUCCAUUCCCUGCAGCUGAUAUUGCGAGGAUCUUUGCAAGAUGAGGCUGCUGAUUGUUCUAAAAUGAUUGUGAAUGUCCCUGCUGUAGAUACCAUUAUAGAUAGAGUGGAUACACUUCGUAUUAACGAUAUGGUUCGUCUCGUUGAAACAGCAUCAAUGCCUGUUUUGGCUGUUGAUACUUCAGGCCGUAUCAAUGGAUGGAACUCUAAAGUUUCUGAACUAACUGGAUUGCCGGUAGAGAAUGUUAUAGGUGUACCUUUGGUUGAUUUGGUUAUUGAUGGUACAACAAACACAAUUAAACGUGUUCUCUCCCUGGCUUUGCAAGGCAAGGAGGAGAAAAAUGUGGAAAUCAAACUUAGAACACUUGGUCCUCAAGAAAAGGUCGGGUCAAUUUCAAUAGUGGUUAAUGCUUGCUGUAGUCGAGAUUUUAAACAAAACAUAGUUGGAGUUUGCUUUACUGGAAAAGAUGUUACUCGGCUAAAGCUGAUUAAGGACAAAUAUAGUCGCGUUCAAGGUGAUUAUGUUGGAAUUAUCCAUAGUCCAUCUCCUUUAAUUCCUCCAAUUUUUGUGAUGGAUGAGCAGGGAAGAUGUGUGGAAUGGAACGAUGCUAUGCACAAGUUGACUGGGUCGAAGAGGGAGGAGGUCAUUGAUCAAAUGCUUCUUGGUGAAGUUUUCACAGUCAAUAGCUUCGGUUGCAGGGUUAAAGAUCAAGACACAUUAACCCAGCUCACGAUAUUAUUGAAUAGAGUAAUUGCUGGUGGGGAAGGUGAGAAAUUUUUUUUUGGGUUAUUUAAUAAACAGGAUAAGUAUAUUGAAGCCUUAAUCUCUGCAAAUAAAAAAGUUGAUGACGAUGGUCGAGUAACUGGGGUCUUGUGCUUCCUGCAUGUUCCUAGUCCAGAACUUCAAUAUGCAAUGCACGUACAAAAGCUGUCAGAACAAGCUGCUAAAAAUAGUCUUAAAAAGUUGACUUAUGUUCGUCUUGAACUAAAAAACCCUUUAAAUGGGAUAAACUGCAUACAGAAUCUGCUGAAAUCUUCUGAUUUGAGCAAGGAUCAAAGGCAAUUGCUGAAGACAAGCACAAUGUGUCAAGAACAACUAGCCAAGAUCAUUGAUGACACUGAUAUUGAGAGUAUUGAGGAAUGCUAUACAGAAAUGAACUCUUGUGAGUUCAAUCUUGGAGAAGUUGUUACAGUGGUCAUUAACCAAGUUAUGAUUCUUAGUCAGGAGCGUAAGGUUCAGGUCACAUGGGACUCGCCUGUCGAAGUAUCACAGCUGUACCUGAUUGGUGACAAUUUGAGGCUUCAACAAGUCCUUUCUGACUUUUUGACCACAGCUAUCCUCUUUACUCCCUUUGAAGACUCCUCUGUGCAUUUCAGAGUAAUUCCAAGGAAGGAACGUAUAGGGACGAAGAUGUACAUCAUGCAUCUUGAAUUUCGGAUCACUCAUCCAUCCCCAGGGAUACCUGACGAUUUAAUUCAACAUAUGUUCCACUACAGUCGGAGCAUAUCAAGGGAAGGUUUUGGCCUAUACAUCAGCCAGAAACUUGUUAAAAUCAUGGAUGGUACCGUCCAGUAUCUUCGCGAGGCUGACAGAUCCUCAUUCAUUAUAUUAGUUGAAUUUCCACUGAUGGAGAAGAAGAACAACUAAUAAUUCCAGAGAAAAGUGUUCCUGACUAUCCUGCUGCAGACAACACGUUUUUACAUAAUUUUUUUUUUUAGACAGGCAUGCAUAGUCAAGAUUCUGGAAAAGGCUACUUUCAGAGAAUCAGCUUCUCGACCAGCCAACUGGCGUUGUUAUUUGAAUAGAUUGUAUGUUUACCCAUUGGAGUGGCGGCUUUAGACUGUGUGCCAUCUAAUGUAGAUGCUGCAACAUCAGUGUCAACAGUUUCUUUUCGAUGCCAGAGGGUCAUUGCUUCCUCUUCUUCUUCUUCUACCUAACAGCAUAGGGCGCGGGCAUCUUGACAGCCAUUUCAGCAAAGGGUGUGAAGAAUUCAGCAUAACUUAGUUAUCAACUGACAUAAUGUACAGCAACUAUUAAGAAGAACAACCUUUCAACAUAUCAUUUCAUAUCACUCUACUACUUCAAAGUAAAAUCCACAUAAUCUUUUUCUCUUAUA